rnacentral:lncRNA from 1 species
GCAAAUAGAAGAGAGCAUUAAUGAAGCAAAUAGCUAAAGGUAUCACUUAACCAUAUACUGGUCGUAAUUCUCAAUCUAUAGAAAUUGUUUCUACUAAAAAAAUCAUGUAUUACACAGUGGUCAUGGGUGUCAAGACUUGGACUUCAGAAACUGACAUUCAUUUAUACUAAAAUCAUACCCUGUUUGUAACAUUACUUCUUAUUUUACGCAUUUUUCAUAAUUGCAUUAUGUAUAAACUAUCAACUAUCAGUCCAUAGGACACUUCUUCCUUGAGCAAUUAGCAUCCCAAAAAGACUCAUUACCCUAACAGUUAAAACCGCUCCACACACCAAGACCCCAAUAAUUUAGUUCAUACAAAUCAAAGGAACUUCCAAAUCAAGCAUGGGACUUCAAAAAGAGACAUUCAUUUAUACAAAAAUCAUACCCUGUUUGUAACACUAAUUCUUAUUUUACAAAUGCAGAAUUGCAUUAUGUAUAACCUAUCAGUCCAUGGGAGACUUCUUCCUUGAGCAAUAAGCAUCCCAAAAAAACUCUUUACCCUAACAGGUAAACCAUUCCAAACUCCAACACCACAUCAAUUAAGUUCAUGCAAAUCAAUGGAACUUUCCCAGUCAAACAUGGGAGUUCCUAUUUUAGACAGAAGACUUAGGACAAUCUGUACAUUAUGCAAUCUCAGGUCAAAUUGAGGGCCUUGAAAUGUCUCACACACUGUCAUCUCCGAACAUGCUACUUCAAUGACUUGAGAAGAUGAAGUUGUUAGAAUUAAGCUAAUAAAGCCUUUUUUUUUUUUUUUUUUGGCCUUCACAAAUGGAAGCCAACGAAAUAUCUAGCAUAAUUUUUAUUUCAUCAAUGAGAUGGAAUAUCAGGGAUUAGAUAACAUAAACUGCAGAAUACAAAGUAUAUACAUGCGAAGCUAUUAUAUACAAAAAGUACUAACAUCUUGCAAGAUUUCGGACAACUUGCCAGGACAGUUAAUCUCUUGUCCAAAUAGAACCGCAUUUUUUAUUAAAUGCCAAAUCAUCAAACCAUAAAUAAAGUAAAGAUGGAUAUAUAACAUUCCCAUAGACUAUAAACAUGCAUGUGCACUUCACUAGUUACUACCCAUGAUAAAAUGGAGGCAUCUCAUUCCAGAAUAGGUAGGUCUCCCUCUCUAACACUGGACUCCUAAAGCUAGUCCUAAUUCUCUAAGGACUCCUGUAAAACCAAUUAAUGUUCUCCUUAUCCAAUAAGGACUCAAAAGACUCAAAGGAAAUAUGGGAAUAAUUAUGUAUUUUAUAGAUGACCUUUCAAACAUGACACGUUUAUGUGUCAUGGCACAAUUGGUCCCAAAUACCUAUCAAUUAAAAUAUGGGUUUCUCCAUGUUUACAGUUAGUAGAAAAAAGAAUACAUUAAGUGAAAUUUUUCCUGCUACAUAUUUGUCCACAAUUAUAUAUUUGUUCAUCUGAAGAAUAAUAUUUAUUAAUUAUAUGAUAAUGGAUGGGACCAUUACAUACACUACAAGUUUUUGUUGCUCCAAACCAUUAUACUUGAUGUGUUAGGCAUUUUAUGUUUUACAGUCACUACCGUUAUUUUCCCUUUUCUGCACCACUUCCAACCAACAAUUUCAAUUUUUUUUGCAAUUUAAAUCCUUCAAAAAUUGCCUAAAUUAGCUUAUUCUUGAUUUGGCUUCAUAACAAGGCAAAAAUCGAGAUAAGAGUAUCUGUGGUAUCCUUUUCAAACUUUUCUUGAAGAAGGUGUGUUAACUUUGACUUUUCCCAUGUUGAUUACUUGCUUUUGUAAAUUACUUGUUAACAGAUUUGGUGAUGCUAUAUUGCCACUUAUAUCAUACAUUAGUUUGAUAAUUAGCUAGUGGCAUUUCUCAGUUUUAGUAAAGUCCUUUAACAUAUAUUUUUUAUGCAUUUGGCAACCUUUAUAGAAAUAAUUGUAUAGUGACAAGCUGCAACAUAAAGUGAAAGCAGAGACAGCCCAUUUCCAUUACAAAAGACCAGAAUUUAACAUGAUUGCACAAUAUUUCACUAAAAACUGCAGCCUGCAAAGUUACAAUCUAGGAUCCGUCCUUGAUUAAAAAACUAACUAUUUCUAUUUCUAUCAAAAGCAUCCAAUAAGUUGUGCCAAGGAAAUUCUUUAAACGGGACGAAAAAUAACUUAACUUACCCUUUCAAGACGUUGGAGGAGUGCAGUUUUAAAUUGGCGAACACCACGUCCACUAGAAGUAGGGUCCAACCUAUGUGCCUUCUCAAAGGCAUAAAAUCGGCCUACAUUAAGAGUACCAGAAAAUGAGAUACGGUAUCAAAUGGAAGCUCCAACAUAGAAAUAUGAAAGGAAAAUACCAAUAAGGAUGGGUGUUCACCCACAUGAAAAUAAAGAAAAAGUUUGAAUUAAAAUCCAUAUAAUCAUGAAAGCUUUCUAAGUAAAUUCAACACUAGUAUGGCAUUUGAAGUCCACAACAGAAUUUUCAGAGCUGAAACAAUUAUUUAAGGAAAUCAGAAAUACACAAAAACCUUUAAUUACCUUAUGGAGAUUUAGUAAUCUAGUAAAGGCAGUUGCACAUACUUUCAGGAAUAUAAACAGCUAAUACCAGGACCAAGACAGGAAUAACAUUCAAUUCAUUACAUAAUGCAGCCUUUUUUUUUCACGAGAACAGAAUUUUCUGAGAAAAGAAAAAAAGGAGAAUAGAUUGUGGAGGACAAGCAAUCCUCCACAAUGUUAAAAAGUGCAACCACUUGUCAAAUCUCAUAAUCACAGAAUCACAUGCAACAAGCAUCACGUUCAUACAUUCACUUUCACAUACGCAAGCUUGCCAUGCAACAUGCAAAAGAAAGCCCAAGCAACCCAAAAUACAUUAAGACAUGUAGAAUGGAACACAGCGGAGAAAAACGCAUGAUUCAAAUGAAGUCAAAUUUCUCAGAAUUCUGAGCCUUCAAGAUGUAGCAGACACAAGGCCAACAGGCAACCAAACACUACACACACAAAGAGGCAGACUACUAUACUGGUAAGUAGAAUGAAGGUGUACUUAGUUACAGCUUAAAAUUCAUGCUGCCAUUACAACCUGAAAUUUAAGAACCCAUUUUAAUAAAAAAAAAAAAGGUCAGAAAUAUGUGAAAAAAAAAAAAUUUCCCUCGAAACAUACUAGAAAGCAAUUCAGAACCCAAAUUAAUCACAGAAAAAAGAUAAAAAGUUAAACAAAUCAAAUUACCCAAAAAAAUAAAAAUAAAAAAAAGCCAAAAAAAUGUAGCCUUCUAUAAACUUACAUAGAUAAGCAACUCUUGGGUUGCUAGAUUCUACUUCAUUAGCAACACGGAGAAUAGGAGCUAUCUCAACUAAUGAAGAUGGCACCACCUCACUGUCAAAUAUCGACUCUCCAAGAUUCCCUGCAGUCUGCGUCCUUAUGAUCCGCCGUGCUGGCGGUGGCGUAGCCUGAUCCGGCCCUCCUCUCGACGAGGAAGCCAUCUGUUUCCGUAUCCGUGAACCUUAUUUCCCUUAAAAAUUAAAAAAAAAAAUUAAAAAUAAAAAAUCAAGCUCAUUGCUUCUCUAACUAGCAACCACACAUAAAAAAACGAGAAAAAUAAUAAUAAAAUUGCCAAAAGAUAAACUAAAAUGGAAAUUUCUUCAUUUUUAACAAGAAAAUUUAAGAACUAAAGCAAAUCAAUCUUAGUACCAGUAAUGGUUAUGGCACAACAAUAAAGGAAGUACAUUGCAUUAACUGCAAUCAAAUACUGCAUAAAAGGAAAGUAGAAUGCGAAGGAUUAGUUCAAGAGCUUAGUUUAGAACUUACAAAGAGAGAAAGAAACCCGAACAGAGAACCCAACCAGAGAGAGAGAGAGAGGCUGCGACUGUAAGCUACUUAGUAAAGAAGGAAAGCUAACAUGGAAAGUAAGGGUAGUGAGUGUCCGAGACAGAAAAUAGAAGGAGAGCCAGUGAGGUCAAGCAAAAAGGAUAGUUUAUUUGAAAAAAUUCGACCUUUUUGCUGCUAUUGGUCCGAUCUAAUUUUUGAGGUUUGAGUCAUUCAAUUGACCUUCGGUAUUUGAAUUAUUACGGAAAUGCGAUUGGCUUCUUAUUAUGCUUGCAGCUCUUGUGGUAUAGAUUAUAUUACUAAAUUGCCCCCCACGCCCACAGAGCCGCAUCUUUGUUUCUUCUUCUUUUUCAGACACAAACUAGUAUUUUAUAUAUUAUUAGUGGCACUACAAUUUUAUUUUAUUUUUCUUCUAUAGAGAAAAAUAAAAUUGAACUGCAUUAAAGGUGUCUCAUACAAUAUUUCCAUUUUCUUUAAGGAAUAUGCAAUUUUUCAUUUAAUAAAAAUUAAUUGAAAAUAACAGUUACAAUUAGUUUUCAAGAAAAUAACAGUUACACUUUACACCAAAUAAAUAAAGAGAAAUGAUAUUAAUAAAUAAUAUUUUAAUAAAUAUUUAAUUUUUUAUGUCUCAAUUUUUAUUAUAAUAUUUUUAAUAUUUAUAUAAUUGAUUUGUAGAUAAAUAAUUUAAAAUUUGCAAUGUUCGAAUUUAAUUUAACAAAUGUGGAUAAUAUUUAUAAAUUGCAAUUAUAAUAUUAAACUAUUUUUAAAAAAUAUACAAUAAUAAGAUUACAAAAUAAAAUAUUCUAUCCGUUAAUUCUAUUUAUUUUUAUAAUUCUAUUUAUUUAUAGAGUCAAAUAAAAAUUUAUGAUUUUGAUGGCUAUUUUAUUUAUUGAAAAAUUUUUUAUUGAGCUAAUUAUUUAUUUCGUCAUUUAUUUAGUCAAAUGAUUAUUGUUUAUUGUGUUGUUGAUUAUUAUGUCUUGAUAUUUAUGAUUUUAUAUUUAAUUAAUUAAUUUCAAUACAUACUAGGUGGAGGCCAAUUAAAAAAAUAUGCUACAUGUCAUUUCUUGGAAAAACAUGCUAAGUGGAGCUUUAUAGAAAGAUUAUGACAUAUAUCAAUUUCUUGGAAAAAAAAUAUUUACUUUAUAUAUGUUGAUUAGAAAAUUUUAAUUUUAGUCAAAUAAUAGAAUAAACCAAUAUUUCAAAAGAUCGCAAACCGGAAAAAAAAAAAUUGCAUCACAAUAAAAAAAUAAUAAAAAAAAAACUGAUUUAGGAAUAAAGGAUACCUUUAUAUUUUCAUUAAGCAUAUAACGGGGAAAAAAAAUAAAACUUAGAUGAGAGGGCUUAUAAGUUUAAGUGUUGUAAAUUACAGGGAUUAAAUAAUAAUUUUAUCAAUUUUACCAUACUAUAACGAUUAAAUAGUAAUUCAUCCUUAAAAAAAUUUUAUAUUUUAUUUAUUUUUUAACAUUUCUUUUUUGAAAAUGUAAUUUAUUAAUAAUAAUAUUAAGAAUUAUAAAUAAGCAUAUAAACCAGACAUAGGACUUUAAUAUUAGUAUCUAAUAGAGUUUGUUGAUCUUUUAAAGAAAUAAAAGAAUUUAUAUUCUUUUGAAUGAAUAUUAGUAGCUAAUAAUAGAUUUCUGCUUUUAGCUUAUCUUGACAAAAGAUAUAAAUUUUUAUAGCAGCAACUAGUCCGUUACUUAAUUUGAAUAUUAAAAUAAUAAUUUUUUUGGAUAUUCUAUAACUAGAUUGCUUUUUCUAUAAUUUGCAAUAUAUGACGCACAUAAAUAUAUAUCCGCCGUUAUGCGUCAAUAGCAUCAAAGGAGGAACAUAUUGUACUACAAGGCUCCAUUGAUAGAAGAUUUUUACUUGCAAAUAAAGAUCUAAAAUCUCCAACCGAAUAAAAUCAAAUAUCAUAGUUUUAUUUAGUAAUAAACCCUCACAAAGAAGGGGAAAAAACUCCAAAUAUGGAGACAAACAACAAUAACAAAACAAAAAUAAAUAAAUUUAUUAUAGGAAAAACAGAUCUGAGUUUAUUAAAGCAAUAUUAAAAGCAAAAAAAGGUGAAGCGAAAAAAAUUUUAGAAAAUAGGAAGUACUAAAUCUAGGGUUAAAAAACUAAAGAAAAAGAAGAAGAAAAGAUAUAUAUAUAUAUAUAUUUAACAAUUAUUAGACUAGUCAUUUAUCAUUAUCGUGAAUGAGACAAUUCUUUUUCAUUUGUAAAAAGAUAAAGAGCAGUACUCUUUUAAAAAUAUUCCUUAAUGAAAUUAAUAUACAAAUUUUAUAAAUUGAAUAAGAGAGAAUAAAAUAGUGUUGGUGUAGAAGUUGGCAAUAUUUUUUCUUUAUUUGUUAGUAAACUUUUAAUACUGUUUCAGGGCUUAUUAAUUUAGUUAUUUAUUUUUACUCUUUGUUGGUUGUUAGUGAUUAAUAAGAAUCAUCAUUCGAUUCAAUUGAACUAAAUUUAUUAAAAAUAUAAAAUUUAAAAAAUAUAAAAAUUGAACCAAACUAACUAAAUAUGUUUAUAAAACCAAAUCAAACCGAAAAUAAUUCAAUAUUGUUAAUAAAAAAAUAAAAUUGAAAUAAUUGAACAAAUAAUUUUUUUUACCUUUUCAGAGUAUCUGAUUUAGUUCGAAAUUGAAAUUAAGCUAACCAACAUUAUGUUAAUUCAGUUUGAUUUUCUAAUUUAAUAUGAAAUUUAAUCAGGUUCAGUAAUUUGAUUGUUUCAGUUUAUUUGAAACAAAAAAAAAUUUGAAAUUCAUAUUUAACUAACUAAACCACAUUGAUUUUAUUGAAAAGUUAAUUCGAACUAAAUAGAAUAAUAUUAUAUUUAUUUUGUUUAAUUUCUUAGGUAAAACCAAAGCUUACUAACCCAAAGUUUUUUUUUUUUUUUUUUUGAAAGGAAGAAAAUAUCAUUAGUCAGAAAUAUCAUAUAUAAUAAGAGCUUCUAUAUUUCUUGGAAGCUCAUGCAAAAGACGAGUAUAUGAAUGAGCGACCCAAGCUAAAGAGUGAGCUACUCUAUUCACUUGCCUUAGUAUCCAUUUAACAGUAAUAUUAUUACUUCAUAAACUCAAAUGCUGAUAAUCAGCAAUCAUCAAACCCCAUUGAGAUAGGUCAGUAGAAUUACUUUGAAAAGCUAUAACUACUUCCUUAGCAUCCAACCCUACCUGCACAUGUGAGAAGUGCCUCACUUUAAUCCAUAAGAGGACCUCCGUUAAACCCAACACCUCAGCCAUUCUAGCUUCAUAAACACCAUUGAAAAAAUCAGAUAAGGUAGUAACAAAAUCUCCACUCCCAUUAUGAAACACAACGCUAAAGCCCACUUUAUUUAAUCCCUUAAAAACGGUCGCAUCUACAUUGCACUUUAAAAAACUAGCUGAUGGAGGAGACCAGCCUAAUUGCAGAGUAAGACUAACAGCUUGAAGCCUACCAUUUUCACUAACACACUGAGCUUCAGACCAUUCGUGAAGAUAAUGUAGAGCCGCAGCAACCAACUGGCAAGGGUCAGAAAUAAAUUUCUGCCAAAUAAACAGGUUCUUGUGGAACCAUAUGAAUAAAACAACACAACAUCUCUACACCAUUUCAUCCCCUAAUCUAUCCUUGACAUUCAGCAACCAAUACAUAAAAGAGUCACCAUCUACACUCACCAAUCUAGCAUCCAAUGAAAGCCAACACAUAGCAGCUCACAGACACCAUAACAAAAGAUGCUCGAUAGUUUUUGUCUAAUCAUAAUAUACACAACAGACAUUAACAUGAAUGCCCCUCGAUAAACUAGACCUGGUUGGUAGAAUAUCACAACACACCCUCUAAAGAAAACUUUUAACCUUAGAAGGAACUCCUAGAUUCCACAAGAACUUCUAAAAGCGUUGCACCUAUAACCUGUAACAAGAGUGCAUUUUAAAGGCUUAAUGAUAGGCCGAUUUGACAGUGAAGGUCCCCACUCUCUCCAGAUGUCAGACAAUUGUAUCAUCACAGUUUUGCAUACCUAGAGGAAUUUGAAGAAUACGACCAGCAUCAACAGGAGCAAAAAGGUCACGCACAAAGCCCUCAUCCCAUUUUUUAGUAACAAGGUCAAUCAAACCAAACACUUUAAGCUCCUCAAAACCUUCGAUAAUAUCUGAUUCUACAAAAUUAGGACUACUACACACCCAAGGAUCAUCCUAAACACAAAGUCUAAACCCAUUUCUAGCCCUCCACCGAAUUCCAGCUUUUAGCACAGGUUGAGAACAGAAAAGACUCCUCUAUAUAUAACUCGAAUUUUGGCCUAAAAUGGCGUUACAAAGAUCCCCAUUUGGGUAGUAUUUUCCUUUGAGGAUCUGUGAUAAAAGAGUACUUUGGUUGGUUAUUAGCCGCCAACCUUGCUUACCCAAUAAAGCUAAAUUGAAACUAUGAAGGUGUCAAAAAUCCAUACCUCCAUUAGUUUUACUCAAACAAAUUUUAUCCCAAGCUAACCAAUGAAUGUUUUGCCUUCCAUCCUUCUUUGAAUCACUAAAAAGAAUUCAACAUCCUUUCAAGCUCCAUAUAGGUAGUCACAGGUAAUAAAAACACACUCAUGCAAUAAGAUGGUAUUACUUAAGCCACUGAUUUAAUAAGGACUUCCUUACCCGCCUUGGUUAACGACUUGCUUUUCCACCCUUGGAGAUGCUUCCAUAUUGGAUCUCGAAUAUAGGCAAACACAGGUUUCUUGCUUCUGCCAACUAUAGACAGGAGGCCUAAGUAAUGACUUGGGCUAAGAGGUGUAUGAACAUUUAACAAACCAGGAAUAUUAAUUCUCAAUAAAUUACUAACGUUAGGACUAAACAUAAUACCUAAUUCUAGUAGUUAAUAGUUGCCCAAAAGCUUGCUCAUACAAAGAUAAAAUAUGCUUAACUCGAUUCACUUCAAAAACAUUUGCCCGAAAAAAGAAAAAAUUAUUGCUUACGAAAAGCAAAUGAGAAACAGAAGGUGUACCUCUAAUAAUUUGACAGCCAUGGACAUCACCACAACCUCUUCGCCUGUCUGAAUAGAGCUAAAAGCCCCUCCGCACACAACAAAAAGAGAUAAGGCGAUAAUGGAUCCCCCUGCCUUAGACCCCUCUCGGGAAAAAUAGCCUAUAUUCGUUCCAUUAAAGGAAAUUGAAUACUUUACUGAAGAAAUACAUAACAUAAUCAAGUCAACUCAUCAUGAAGCAAGACCCAUGUUAAUCAUCAUCGCUUGAAGAAAACCCCAAUCCACACAAUCAUAACACUUGCUAAUAUCGACCUUUAGCGUGGCUAGACCUUUCUUUCCAAAAGUUUUUCGCUUCAUAUACUGGAGGAUCUCAAAAGCUACCAACCCAUUGUCAUUGAUAAGUCUACCCGGCACAAAAGCUGACUAAGAUGGGGAAAUAACUUUGUCCAAUACUUUUUUCAACAUGUUAGCUAAAACCUUUGCAAGAAUUUUGUAAACCACAUUAUAGAGAGAAAUUGGCCAAAAAUCCUUAACUGUUUGAGGAGCCCCAAUUUUUAGAAUUAAAGCUACAGAGGUACAGUUAGGAAAAUUUGGAAACUCACCGGUCGACAAUCAAGUCUUAUAGUUGAAAAUCACAUCUGUCCCCACAAUUUGCCAAAAAUUCUGAUAAAAGUAUACAUUUAAACCAUCAGAACCUGGACUCUUGUACGGAUGCAUUUGGAAUAAAGUAGUCUUAAACUCAUCAUUUGUAUAAAGCGUAAGGAGCAUCUCAUUGUCAGUCGACAAAAUAGAAAGAAUAAUAAAAUCUGUAACAGAAUCAUAAGAGUGUGGCGAAGCAGAAAAUAAAUCAGUGAAAUAUUUUGAACAAUACUCCCACCGCAACGUCAUCUUCACACCAAACCCCAUCCUCAUCAUACAACCCCUUAAAUGAAUUAAUACGAUUUUGUUGCAUUGCAGCUGCAUGAAAGAAUACUAUGUUACUAUCACUAUUUUUCAACCAAAACACUUUGUUGCGCUGCUACUAAAAUAUUUCCUCUUGAGCUAAGUUAUUAUUCAAGUCGAUUUUAGCUUUCUCAUAAUCCGCAAUCGACGCUGCAUCAGUUAGACCAUGCAAACUAACCAUAGUUAUUAAUGGUUGAUUAAAUUGUGAAUGUUGGUCAUUUUUGUAAAAUUUUAGACAAUUGCUAAAACAUAGAGCUUGUUCAACAAUAAUUUUUAGUGUUUAUUAUUUUGGCCUAGGCCGUAUUCGGCAACACCGUUUUGGAUAGCUUUUAGUGUUUUGAAUUAGUCAAAACGCUUUUUCUCUAUAUUAUUGUGUUCAGUAACCUGAUAUAUGAAAUAGAUUUUAGAGGAUAAAUGAGCAUUUUCUAAAACGCUAUCCCACCUAAUGUUUAGCGGCUUAGGUUUUUUUAAUUCUUUUAUGCUUUAAAAUCUUUCUAUAUCACAUUAUAUCUUUUUAUUAUUUUUUAUGCUUGGCUUGUUUAUAAUUGAUAGUAAGAAAAAAUGUUUAUUUGUUUUUUGCCUCCAAAGGCGAACGGGGAUUAGUUAGGUUUGUGGACUAUUAAAAUGAAUACAAGCCUGGAUACCUCAUGCAAGCAUAAAAAAUGUUUGUUUAUAUAUUUGCAUUUGAACUCGAGAAAAUGUUAAAAAUUAAAAAUAUUAAUCCACUAAAAUAUUAAAAAUUUCCAAUUUUAUUUAUAAAAUAAUGAACUUUUUAAUUUUUGCUCCCUUAAAUUUUGAAAAUUUAGGUUUUGUGAAAUCAUCUUUAUAUAUAUAUACUGAGUUUAAUUCUAUGGUUAUAAGUGAAAUUCUGAGUGAAUAUUACAUUAUCAUUUUUUUAACAUUUUAAAUUUAAUUGUCAAUCAAACAACUGUUUUUAUCAAAUACUUUCGCUUUCAGUUGCUACUUAAAUAGCUAACAACUAGCAGCUAACAUCUAACAAUUGACAUCUAAUAGUUAAAAGCUACUAAAACAGCUAACAACUAGUAGGUAUUAGAACAGCUAAAUUUGUCAAAUGGACCCCUAGUCAAAAUACAUGAUGUUUAUAUUAAUAUUGAGAGGUUGAAAAAAGUAAAUUAUAAGACGUUGUCUCUUAUCAACAAGUAAAAUAACUAACAACUAUUAGAAUAAUUAACUUCUAUUAAAACAACUCAUGUUACAAAGUAAGAGCAUAAAAUCACCAUUAAAUAUAAGUAUAUAUAUAUAUAUAUAUAUAUAUAUACUUAUAUUUAAUGGUGAUUUUCAAAGCUGACGUGUCACUCCCAUGUUUGAGUGUUGUUUUUUCUCUUUUUUUUUAUAAAUUUUCUAAAUUUUUAGUAAUUGUUGAGCAUUUUUAUUUUCAUAUCUAUAUAUACCUAUAUCUAAAAUCUAAAACUUUGAAUAAUUAAAACUUUAAAAAUUUUGAAUUAUUGAAUUUAAAACUUUAAAACUUUAAAACUUUUGAAGGUUUGAAUUUAGAACUUCAAAAAAUUUAAAUUUAUAUAUAUAUAUAUACACCUCUUUCAAUGAUUAUUUUCACAAUGGUUUUCUUCUUAUCUUUUUGUUGUUUCUUUCAAUCAUUUUAUUUAAAUUUUCUAGGUUUGGCUAUGAUUAUAUUUUAAAAUUAUAUUCAUUUAUCAUAAUUAUCUAUAUCUAUAUUCAAUUUUGAAACUUUUUAAAAUUAUAUGUAUAUCUUUUAUAAUAUUUUAUUUGCUUCUUUUUAUUUCUCUGAAGUUGUAUGAUUUAUUUUUUAUAUAAAUAUUUAUUUUAUAUAUACAAUAAAAAAUCUCUAAUACGAUGUAUGAUAAUAAAGCAAUAAAACAAUCCGGGCAACGCGCGGGCUUCUACCUAGUUAUAUAAAUAUAAAAGCUACAUAUAUCAUUUUCUGCUUUAGUGUAUUGUGUAAAUAAAAAUAGUAAUUAAGUCUUUUUAAUAAUAUUUAAUAAUUAGUUUUAUUUUUAAAUAAUUACAAAUAAAAUAAUUCAAUAUCGGCCUAGUAUCUUUGAAUUGAAAUUAAAGGCUUUUAGUGUAGGGGUAAUCUCGUAAGAGCAUGAUCCUACAUAGCUUAACCUACAAAUAUAUACAAUAUGGGUAUGGCAUGUUAAAACCAAGAACACUAUGGGCAAUUUUGGUAGGUGAUUCAAAAUUCAUAAAAAGAGGCAAGAUUCUUAAUGAUCUAAAGCUAGAACGCCGGAUAAAAAAGUAGCCGUUUUAGUAAGAAGCUUCAAUUCACCAUUUUACCCUUACUCUCUUAUUUAAUUACCUAAACUCAACCCAUAACUCUCAAAAACUGCGGGGGCGAGAGAAGUAAAUUGAAACAAUCUAUAAGCCAAACCAAGUUUUAAGUUAGGUAAAUAAAGUAAAUGUGAAGGGCAGUUAGGACAUUUCGAUGAGUAAUAUCGCUGGGAGAAGAGAUAAAUGUCGGUUUGUUCUGUUCUGUGCAAAAAUUCCAUAAAUGCUUUUUGUUAUUUUAUUUGUUUAUUGGGUCCCACUGCCAUUAGUCGCAACUGACAAGAGCAGUAGUCUACUCUACUCUACGGCGGUGGGACCCAAUAAGACCACAGGACCUGCUCUAACGUGGCAUUCACUGUCUGGGGCCUAUCUAUCUUCUGUGUAUUUUCUAUUUGUUUCUUUGGCUUUUAAAAUUUAAAGAACCGUUUCCCUAUGCAUUGGUUGGGCUCCAUGCUGAUGCUGACUCCGAAUAAUAUUUUAAAUUGAUAAAAAUAUCUAAACUCUGGACUUGGUUUUAAUUGUCAUUUAAAUUUAAUUUUCUUCAUAGUAUGUUGAAUUUUCAUUUUAGUUAUAAUAAUAUUCUAAUUUUAAAUUGCAUCUAAUUUUAUAAAUAAAAUAUUAUUUUUAUAGAAUCCAAUUUAAUAUUUUCCCCAAAUUACACUAAUAAAUAAAUAUUUAUAUUUAUUUAUAUAAAUAUUAAAAUAUAAAUAAUUUAUCAUCUUAAAAAUAAAAUGACGUCAUAAUGAAUAAAGCUUAUUUUUAUAAGAGAUUUAACCUUCUGCAAAGUAAUAAUUAUUUGUAAUAAGAUUAAAUGUUCCCUUUGAUUAGCAACAUUAUCCUUCUGCAAAUUAAACAGGUACCCAAUGGAAAUAGGUCAAGGAAAAAAUGUUACAUACUUCCAAUCAUACUUAAUUAACUGACAAAUUCAAAAUGCUUGGAGAAUUAAUUAUUUGUAGUUCUUUCACCUGAAACCCAAACAUCGCCUGAAGCCAAUCUAAAAUAUCUUCGUCUCUUUUCUUCUUGUGGCCUUUUGGGCCAUGGAAGACCCCUUGUGUAGCGGAGAGCUACAACAGCAGCUUGGAUCUACAAAUGGUUAGACACUAGCAUUUUCAUGCUAAGUGAGAGAAGCUAAAACAAAGCUCACUAUCCAAAGCACAUAAGAAAUGUACCUCGGGAUAUUGCAUAAUUGCCUGAUUUGCACUAUCAGGAUCAAGUGGAAGGAUAUUGCAAGGGACAUAUAUCUGAGUCUUUUCUGCAACUUUAUCCUGAGCUUCUAAAAUCUUUACAAAUGUCCACAAAGAAUAAAUUUACACAUAUGUAACAGCUGGUCAGCAAUUAGCAUUAUUAAGUCGACAAAAAUUGAAAUAGGUGAUAUCUGCCUUCAGAUUAAACAUUCACAAUAGAGUAAAUGUCACAAGGUUUCACCUCACGAUCUACUUCAAUAGAUUGUGUCAUAUUAACAGCUUUCAAAACCUCAAAGAGAACAUUAGCAGUUUGGUAUGCCUUUGUAAGCUGUGCACUGAAUUUAAAAAGACAACCGUCAAAAAUGGCAACUACACUGGGAUUCCAGAAAAUAUUAGCUAAGAAAACUUCUUACUAUGACAUAAGCAAAUAUCUCUAUCUUUUCCCUUCUACGGCAAAAAACUCACCGAUCAGCUUUAUCAGCAGCAUUUUGCAAGGCUUGGAUAUACUUUUUGUAGUAAUGUUGAUAAAAACUCUGCAUUUCCCGCGCAUCACUCUUUUUUACCCUUCCCAUCAAGGUUGGAUCAUUUUCCCGAAAAGAAUUAAAGAAAACCCCUCUAGUAGCAAAAAGGAGAGAGCAUAAAUGAAGCAAAUAGCUAAAGGUAUCAUUUAACCAUAUGCUGGUCGUAAUUGUCAAUGCUGUAGAAAUUGUUUCUCCUAAAAAAAUCAUGUAUUACACAGUGGUCAUGGGUGUCAAGACUUGGACUUCAGAAACUGACAUUCAUUUAUACUAGAAUCAUACCCUGUUUGUAACAUUACUUCUUAUUUUACGCAUUUUUCAUAAUUGCAUUAUGUAUAAACUAUCAACUAUCAGUCCAUAGGACACUUCUUCCUUGAGCAAUUAGCAUCCAAAAAAGACUCAUUCCCCAAACAGUUAAAACCGCUCCACACACCAAGACCCCAAUAAUUUAGUUCAUACAAAUCAAAGGAACUUCCAAAUCAAGCAUGGGACUUCAAAAAGAGACAUUCAUUUAUACAAAAAUCAUACCCUGUUUGUAACACUAAUUCUUAUUUUACAAAUGCAGAAUUGCAUUAUGUAUAACCUAUCAGUCCAUGGGAGAAUUCUUCCUAGAGCAAUAAGCAUCCCAAAAAACUCAUUACCCUAACAGGUAAACCAUUCCAAACUCCAACACCACAUCAAUUAAGUUCAUGCAAAUCAAUGGAACUUUCCCGGUCAAACAUGGGAGUUCCUAUUUUAGACAGAAGACUUAGGAUAAUCUGUACAUUAUGCAAUCUCAGGUCAAAUUGAGGGCCUUGACAUGUCUCACACACUGUCAUCUCCGAACAUGCUACUUAAAUGACUGGAGAAGAUGAAGUUGUUAGAAUUAAGCUAAUAUAGCCUCCUUUUUUUUUUUUUUUUUUCGGCCUUCACAAAUGGAAGCCAACAAAAGAUCUAGCAUAAUUUUUAUUUCAUCAAUGAGAUGUAAUAUCAGGGAUUACAUAACAUAAACUGCAGAAUAGAAAGUAUAUACAUGCGAAACUAUUACAUACAAAAAGUACUAACAUCUUGCAAGAUUUCGGACAACUUGCCAGAAGGACAGUUAAUCUCUUGUCCAAAUAGAACAGCAUUUUUUAUUAAAUGCCAAAUCAUCAAACCAUAAAUAAAGUAAAGAUGGAUAUAUAACAUUUUCCCAUGGACUAUAAACAUGCAUGUGCACUUCACCUGUUACUACCCAUGAUAAAAUGAAGGCAUCUCAUUCCAGAAUAGGUAGGUCUUCCUCUCUAACACUGGACUCCUAAAGCUAGUCCUAAUUCUCUAAGGAAGGACUCCUGUAAAACAAUUAAUGUUCUCCUUAACCAAUAAGGACUCAAAAGACUCAGUAGAAAUAUGGGAAUAAUUAUAUAUUUUAUAGAUGACCUUUCAAACAUGACUCGUUUAUGUGUCAUGGCACAAUUGGUCCCAAAUACAUACCAAUUAAAAUAUGGGUUUCUCCAUGUUUAAAGUUAGUAGAAAAAAGAAUACAUUAGUAGAAAAAAGAAUACAUUAAGUGAAAUUUUUCCUGCUACAUAUUUGUCCACAACUAUAUAUUUGUUCAUCUGAAGAAUAAUAUUUAUUAAUUAUAUGAUAAUGGAUAGGACCAAUACAUAUAAUACAAGUUUUUGUUGCUCCGAACCAUUAUACUUGAUGUGUUAGGCAUUUUAUGUUUUAGAGUCACUACCAUUAUUUUCCCUUUUCUGCACCACUUCCAACCAACAUUUUCAAUUUUUUCUACAAUUUAAAUCCUUCAAAAAUUGCCUAAAUUAGCUUAUUCUUGAUUUUGCUUUAUAACAAGGCAAAAAUCAAGAUAAGAGUAUCUGUAGUAUCCUUUUCACACUUUUCUUGAAAAAGGUGUGUUAACUUUGACUUUUCCCAUGUUGAUUACUUGCUUUUGUAAAUGAGUUGUUAACACAUUUGGUGAUGCUAUAUUGCCACUAAUAUCAUACAUUAGUUUGAUCAGUUAGCUAAUGGCAUUUCUCAGUUUUAGUAAAGUCCUUUAACAUUUAUUUUUUAUGCAUUUUGUAACCUUUAUAGAAAUAAUUGUAUAGGGACAAGCUGCAACAUAAAGUGAAAGCAGAGAUAGCCCAUUUCCAUUACAAAAGACCAGAAUUUAACACGAUUGCACAAUAUUUCACUAAAAACUGCAGCCUGCAAAGUUACAAUCUAGGAUCCGCCCUUGAUUAAAAACUAACUAUUUCUAUUUCUAUCAAAAGUAUCCAAUAAGUUGUGCCUAGGAAAUUCUUUAAAUGGGGUGAAAAAUAACUUAACUUACCCUUUCAAGAUGUUGGAGGAGUGCAGCUUUAAAUUGGCGAACACCACGUCCACUAUGAAGUAGGGUCCAACUUAUGUGCCUUCUCAAAGGCAUAAAAUCGGCCUACAUUAAGAGUACCAGAAAAUGAGAAACGGUAUCAAAUGGAAGCUCCAACAUAGAAAUAUGAAAGGAAAAUACCUACAAGGAUGGUUGUUCACCCACAUGAAAAUAAAGAAAAAGUUUGAACUAAAAUCCAUAUAAUCAUGAAAGCUUUCCAAGUAAAUUCAACACUAGUAUGGCAUUUGAAGCCCACAACAGAAUUUUCAGAGCUGAAAAAAUUAUUUCAGGAAAUCAGAAAUACACAAAAAGCUUUAAUUACCUUAUGGAGAUUUAGUAAUCUAGUAAAGGCAGUUGCACAUGCUUUCAGGAAUAUAAACAGCCUAAGACCAGGACCAAGACAGGAAUAAUAUUCAAUUCAUUACAUAAUGCAGCCUUUUUUUUUUUUUCACGAGAACAGAUUUUUCUGAGAAAAGAAAAAACGGAGAAUAGAUUGUGGAGGACAAGCAAUCCUCCACAAUGUUAAAAAGUGCAACCACAUAUCAAAUCUCAUAAUCACAGAAUCACAUGCAACAACCAUCACGUUCGUACAUUCACUCUCACAUAAGCAAGCUUGCCAUGCAACAUGCAAAAGAAAGCCCCAGCAACCCAAAAUACAUUAAGGCAUGUAGAAUGGAAGACAGCGGAGAAAAACGCAUGAUUCAAAUAAAGUCAAAUUUCUCAGAAUUCUGAGCCUUCAAGAUGUAGCAGACACAAGGCGAACAGGCAACCAAACACUACACACACAAGAGGCAGACUACUAUACUGGUAAGUAGAAUAAAGGUGUACUUAGUUACGGUUUAAAAUUCAUGCUGCCAUUACAACCUGAAAUUUGAGAAGCCAUUUUAAUUAAAAAAAAAAAAAAGGUCAGAAAUAUGUGAAAAAAAAAAAUUUUUUUUUUGCCCUCAAAAAAUACUAGAAAGCAAUUCAAAACCCAAAUUGAUCACGGAAAAAAGAUAAAAAGUUAAACAAAUCAGAUUACCCAAAAAAUAAAAAAUAAAAAAGAGCCAAAAAAAUGUAGCCUUCUAUAAACUUACAUAGAUAAGCAACUCUUGGGUUGCUAGAUUCUACUUCAUAAGCAACACGAAGAAUAGGAGCUAUCUCAACUAAUGAAGAUGGCACCACCUCACUGUCAAAUAUCGACUCUCCAAGAUUCCCUGCAGUCUGCGUCCUCGUGAUCCGCCGUGCUGGCGGUGGCGUAGCCUGAUCCGGCCCUCCUCUCAACGAGGAGGUCAUCUGUUUCCGUAUCCGUGAACCUUAUUUCCCUUAAAAAUUUAAAAAUAAAUUAAAAAUAAAAAAUCAAGCUCAUUGCUUCUCUAACUAGCAAUCACACAUCAAAAAUCGAGAAAAAAAAAUAAUAUUGCCAAAAAAUAAACUAAAAUGGAAAAUUUUCAUUUUUAACAAGAAAAUUUAAGAACUAAAGCAAAUCAAUCUUAGUACCAGUACUGGUUAUAGCACAAUAAUAAAGGAAGUACAUUGCAUUAACUGCAAUCAAACACUGCAUAAAAGGAAAGUAGAAAUGCGAAGGAUUAGUUCAAGAGAUUAGUUUAGAACUAACAGAGAGAGAAAGAAACCCAAACAGAAAACCCAACCAGAGAGAGAGAGAGAGGCUGCGACUGUAAGCUACUUAGUAAAGAAGGAAAGCUAACAUGGAAGGUAGGGUAGUGAGUGUCCGAGACACAAAACAGACGGAGAACCAGUGAGGUCAAGCAAAAAGGAAAGUUUAUUUGAAAAAAUUCGACCUUUUUACUGCUAUUGGUCCGAUCUAAUUUUUGAGGUUUGAGUCAUUGAAUUGACCUUCGGUAUUUGAAUUAUUACGGAAAUGCGAUUGGCUUCUUAUUAUGCUUGCAGCUCUUGUGGUAUAGAUUAUAUUACUAAAUUGCCCCCCACCCCCAUAGAGGCACAUCUUUGUUUCUUCCCCUUUUUCAGACACAAACUACUAUUUUAUAUAUUAUUAGUGGCUCUACAAUUUUAUUUUAUUUUUCUUGUAUAGAGAAAAAUAAAAUUGAACUGGAUUAAAGGUGUCUGAUAAAAUAUUUCAUUUUUUUAAGGAAUAUGUAAUUUUUCAUUUAAUAAAAAUUAAUUGAAAAUAACAGUUGCAAUUAGUUUUCAAGAAAAUAACAGUUACAAUUACACGAAAAAAAUAAAGAGAAAUGAUAUUAAUAAAUAAUAUUUUAAUAAAUAUUUAAUUUUUUAAUUUUUAUGUCUCAAUUUUUAUUAUAAUAUUUUUAAUAUUUAUAUAAUUGAUUUGUAGAUAAUUAAUUUAAAAUUUACAAUGUUCGAAUUUAAUUUAACAAAUGUGGAUAAUAUUUAUAAAUUGUAAUUAUAAUAUUAAACUAUUUUUAAAAAAUAUACCAUAAUAAGAUUACAAAAUAAAAUAUUCUAUUCGUUAAUGCUAUUUAUUUUUAUAAUUCUAUUUAUUUAUAGAGUCAAAUAAAAAUUUAUGAUUUUGAUGGCUAUUUUAUUUAGUGAAAAAUUUUUUAUUGAGCUAAUUAUUUAUUUAGUCAAAUUAUUAUUGUUUAUUGUAUUAUUGAUUAUUAUGUCUUGAUAUUUAUAAUUUUAUAUUUAAUUAAUUAAUUUCAAUACAUACUAGGUGGAGGCCAAUUAAAAAAAUAUGCUACAUGUCAUUUCUUGGAAAAACAUGCUCGGUGGAGCCUUAUAGAAAGAUUAUGCCAUAUAUCAAUUUCUUAGAAAAAAAAAUAUUUACUUUAUAUAUACUGAUUAGAAAAUUUUAAUUUUAGUCAAAUACUAGAAUAAACCAAUAUUUCAAAAGAUCGCAAACCGGAAAAAAAAAAAUUGCAUCACAAUAAUAAAAAAAAAAAAAUUAGGAAUAAAGGAUACCUUUAUAUUUUCAUUAAGCAUAUAACGGGGAAAAAAAAUAAAACUUAGAUGAGAGGGCUUCUAAGUUUAAGUGUUGUAAAUUACAGGGAUUAAAUAAUAAUUUUAUCAAUUUUACCAUAUUAUAACGAUUAAAUAGUAAUUCAUCCUUAAAAAAUUUUAUAUUUUAUUUAUUUUUUAACAUUUCUUUUUUGAAAAUGUAAUUUAUUAAUAAUAAUAUUAAGAAUUAUAAAUAAGCAUAUAAACCAGACAUAGGACUUUAAUAUUAGUACCUAAUAAAGUUUGUUGAUCUUUUAAAGAAAUAAAAGAAUUUAUAUUCUUUUAAAUGAAUAUUAGUAGCUAAUAUUAGAUUUCUGCUUUUAACUUAUCUUGACAAAAGAUAUAAAUUUUUAUAACAGCAACUAAUCCGUUAAUUGAUUUGAAUAUUAAAAUAAUAACUUUUUUGAAUCUUCUAUAACUAGAUUGCUUUUUCUAUAAUUUGCAAUAUAUGACGCACACAAAUGGAUAUCCGCCGUUAUGCGUCAAUAGCAUCAAAGAAGGAACAUAUUGUACUAUGAGGCUCCAUUGAUAGAAGAUUUUUACUUGCAAAUAAAGAUCUAAAAUCUCCAACCGAAUAAAAUCAAAUAUCAUAGUUUUGUUUAGUAAUAAACCCUCACAAAGAAGGGGAAAAAAACUCCAAAUAUGGAGACAAACAACAAUAACAAAAUAAAAAAAAAUAAAUUUGUUAUAGGAAAAACAGAUCUGAGUUUAUUAAAGCAAAAACAGAUUAAAGCAAAAAAAGAUGAAGCGAAAAAAGUAUUAGAAAAUAGGAGGUACUAAAUCUAGGGUUAAAAAACUAAAGAACAAGAAGAAGAAAAGAUAUAUAUAUAUAUAUAUUUAACAAUUAUUAGACUAGUCAUUUAUCAUUAUCGUGAAUGAGACAAUUCUUUUUCAUUUGUAAAAAGAUAAAGAGCAGUACUCUUUUAAAAAUAUUCCUUAAUGAAAUUAAUAUACAAAUUUUAUAAAUUGAAUAAGAGAGAAUAAAAUAGUGUUGGUGUAGAAGUUGGCAAUAUUUUUUCUUUAUUUGUUAGUAAACUUUUAAUACUGUUUCAGGGCUUAUUAAUUUAGUUAUUUAUUUUUACUGUUAGUUGGUAGUUAGUGAUUAAUAAGAAUCAUCAUUCGAUUCAAUUGAACUAAAUUUAUUAAAAAUAUUAAAUUUAAAAAAUAUAAAAAUUGAACCAAACUAACUAAAUAUGUUUAUAAAACCAAAUCAAACCGAAAAUAAUUCAAUAUUGUUAAUAAAAAAAUAAAAUUGAAAUAAUCGAACAAAUAAUUUUUUUUUACCUUUUCAGAGUAUCCAUUUAGUUCGAAAUUCAAAUUAAGCUGACCGAACAUUAUCUUAAUUUAGUUCGAUUUUCUAAUUUAAUAUGAAAUUUAAUCAUGCUCAAUAAUUUGAUUAUUGCCAUUUAUUUGAAACAAAAAAAAAUUGAAAUUCAUAUUUAACUAACUAAACCACAAUGAUUUUAUUGAAAAGUUAAUUCGAACUAAAUAGAAUAAUAUUAUAUUUAUUUGAUUUAAUUUCUUAGGUAAAACCAAAGCUUACUAACCCAUAGUUUUUUUUUUUUUUUUUAAAGGAAGAAAAUAUCAUUAGUCAGAAAUAUCAUAUACAAUAAGAGCUUCUAUAUUUCUUGGAAGCUCAUGCAAAAGACGAGUAUAUGAAUGAGCAACCCAAGCUAAAGAGUGAGCUACUCUAUUAACUUACCUUCGUAUCCAUUUAACAAUAGUGUUAUUACUUCAUAAACUCAAAUGCUGAUAGUCAGCAAUCAUCAAGCCCCAUUCGGAUAGGUCAGUAGCAUUACUUUGAAAAGCUACAACUACUUCCUUAGCAUCCAACCCUACCUGCACAUGUGAGAAGUGCCUGACUUUAAUCCGUGAGAGGACAUCCGUUAAGCCCAACACCUCAGCCAUUUUAGCUUCAUAAACACCAUUGAAAAAAUCAGAUAAGGUAGUAACAAAAUCUCCACUCCUAUUAUGAAACACAAUGCCAAAGCCCACUUUAUUUAAACCCUCAAAAACGGCCGCAUCUACAUUGCACUUUAAAAAACUAGCUGCUGGAGGAGACCAGCCUAACUGCAGAGUAAGAAUAACAGCUUGAAGCCUACCAUUUUCAUUAACACACUGAGCUUCAGACCAUUCGUGAAGAUAAUGCAGAGCUGCAGCAACCAACUGGCAAGGGUCAGAAACAAAUUUCUACUAAAUAAACAGGUUCUUGUGGAACCAUAUGAACUAAACAACACAACAUCUCUGCACCAUUUCAUCCCCUAAUCUAUCCUUGACAUUCAGCAACCAAUACAUAAAAGAGACACCAUCUACACUCACCAAUCUAGCAUCCAACAAAAGCCAACACAUAGCAGCUCGCAGACACCAUAACAAAAGAUGUUCGAUAGUUUCUGCCUAAUCAUAAUAUGCCCAACAGACAUUAACAUGAAUGCCCCUCCUCGAUAAACUAGACCUAGUUGGUAGAAUAUCACAACACACCUUUUAAAGAAAACUUUUAACCUUAGAAGGAACUCCUAGAUUCCACAAGAACUUCUAGAAGCGUUGCACCUAUAACCUGUAACAAGAGUGCAUUUUAAAGGCCCAAUGAUAGGCUGAUUUGACAAUGUAGGUCCCCGCUCUCUCCAAAUGCCAGACAAUUGCAUCAUCACAGUUUUGCAUACCUAAAGGAAUUUGAUGAAUACGAUCAGCAUCAACAGGAGCAAAAAGGUCACGCACAAAGCCUUCAUCCCAUAUUUUAGUAACAAGGUUAAUCAAACCAAACACUUUAAGCUCCUUAAAACCUUCGACAAUAUCUGAUUCUACAUGAAAAUUAGGACUACUACACACCCAAGGAUCAUCCUAAACACAAAGUCUAGACCCAUUUCUAACUCUCCACCGAAUUCCGGCUUUUAGCACAGGUUGAGAACAGAAAAGACUCCUUUAUAUAUAACUCGAAUUUUGGCCUAAAAUGGCAUUACAAAGAUCCCCAUCUGGAUAGUAUUUUCCUUUGAGGAUCUGUGAUAGAAGAGCACUUUGGUUGGUUAUUAGCUGCCAACCUUGCUUACCCAAUAAAGCUAAAUUAAAACUAUGAAGGUGUCAAAAACCCAUACCUCCAUUACUUUUACUCAAACACAUUUUAUCCCAAGCUAACCAAUGAAUGUUUUGCCUUCCGUCCUUCUUUGAAUCACAAAAAAGAAUUCAAUAUCCUUUCAAGCUCCAUAUAGGUAGUCACAGGUAAUAAAAACACACUCAUGUAACAAGAUGGUAUUACUUAAGCCAUUGAUUUAAUGAGGACUUCCUUACCUGCCUUGGUUAACAACUUGCUUUUCCACCCUUGGAGAUGCUUCCAUAUCGGAUCUCGAAUAUCGGCAAACACAGUUUUCUUGCUUCUGCCAACUAUAGAUGGGAGGCCUAAGUAAUGACCUUGGCCAAGAGUUGUAUGAAUAUUUUACAAACUAGGAAUAUUAAUUCUCAAUAAAUUACUAACGUUAGGACUAAACAUAAUAUCUAAUUUCUAGUAGUUAAUAGUUGCCCAGAAGCUUGCUCAAACAAAGAUAAAAUAUGCUUAACUCGAUUCACUUCAAAAAUAUUUGCUCGAAAAAAGAAAAAAAUUGUUGCUUACUAAAAGCAAAUGAGAAACAGAAGGUGUACCUUUAAUAAUUUGACAGCCAUGGAUAUCACCACACCUCUCCGCCUGUCUGAAUAAAGCUAAAAGCCCCUCCGCACACAACAAAAAUAGAUAAGGCAAUAAUGGAUCCCCCUGCCUCAAACCCCUCUCAGGGAAAAUAGCCUAUAUCCAUUCCAUUAAAGGAAAUUGAAUACUUUACCGAAGAAAUACAUAGCAUAAUCAAGUCAGCCCAUCAUGAAGCAAGACCCAUGUUAAUUAUCAUCGCUUGAAGAAAACCCCAAUCCACACAAUCAUAACACUUGCUAAUAUCAACCUUUAGCGCGGCUAGACAUUUCUUUCCAAAAGUUUUUCGCUUCAUAAACUGGAGGAUCUCAAAAGCUACCAACACAUUGUCAUUGAUAAGUCUACCCGGCACAAAAGCUGAUUAACAUGGGGAAAUAACUUUGUCCAAUACUUUUUUCAACCUGUUAGCUAAAACCUUCGCAAGAAUUUUAUAAACCACAUUACAGAGAGAAAUUGGCCAAAAAUCUCUAACUGUUUGAGGAGCCCCAAUUUUUAGAAUUAAAGCUACAGAGGUACAGUUAGGAAAAUUUGAAAAUUCACCGGUUGACAAUCAAGUCUUACAGUUGAAAAUCACAUCUGUCCCCACAAUUCGCCAAAAAUUCUAAUAAAACUAUACAUUUAAACCAUCAGAACCUGGACUCUUAUACGGAUGCAUUUGGAAUAAAGUAAUCUUAAACUCAUCAUCUAUAUAAUGCAUAAGGAGCAUCUUCUUGUUAGCCGGCAAAAUAGAAAGAAUAAUAAAAUCUAUAACAGAAUCAUAAGAGUGUGGCGAAGCAGAAAAUAAAUCAGUGAAAUAUCUUUGAACAAUACUCCCAUUGUAACGUCAUCUUCACACCAAACCCCAUCCUCAUCAUACAACCCCUUAAACAAAUUAAUACGAUUUUGUUGCAUUGCAGCUGCACGAAAGAAUACUAUGUUGCUAUCACUAUUUUUCAACCAAAACACUUUGCUGCGCUGCUACUAAAAUAUUUCCUCUUGAGCUAAGAUAUUAUUCAAGUUGAUUUUAGCUUUCUUAUAAUCCGCAAUCGACGCAGCAUCAGUUAGACCAUGCAAACUAACCACAGCUAUUAGUGGUCGAUUAAAUUGUGAGUGUUGGUCAUUUUUGUAAAAUUUUAGACAAUUACUAAAACAUAGAGCUUGUUCAACAAUAAUUUUUAGUGUUAUUAUUUUGGCAUAUUCGGCAACACCGUUUUGGAUAGCUUUUAGUGUUUUGAAUUAGUCAAAACACUUUUUCUCUAAAUUAUUAUUUUCAGUAACCUGAUAUAUGAAAUAGAUUUUAGAGGAUGAAUGAGCAUUUUCUAAAACAUUAUCCCGCCUGAUGUUUAGCUGCUUAGGUUUUUUUACUUCUUUUAUGCUUUAAAAUAUUUCUUUAUCACAUUAUAUCUUUUUAUUAUUUUUUAUGCUUGGCUUGUUUAUAAUUGACAGUAAGCAAAAAUGUUUAUUUGUUUUUUGCCUCCGAAGGCGAACGGGGAUUAGUCAGGUUUGUGGACUAUUAAAAUGAAUACGAGCCUGGAUACCUCAUGCAACUAUAAAAAAAAUGUUUGUUUAUAUAUUUGCAUUUGAACUCGAGAAAAUGUUAAAAAUUAAAAAUAUUAAUCCACUAAAAUAUUAAAAAUUUCCAAUUUUAUUUAUAAAAUAAUGAACUGUUUAAUUUUUGCUCUCUUAAAUUUUGAAAAUUUAGGUUCAACGAAAUCAUCUUUUGUGUUUUUUUAUACCGAGUUUAAUUCUAUGGUUAUAAGCGAAAAUUCUAAGUGAAUAUUACUUUAUCAUUUUAAAUUUAAUUGUCAAUCAAACAACUUUUUAUCAAAUACUUUCGCUUUCAGUUGCUACUUAAAUAGCUAACAACUAGCAGCUAACAUCUAACAACUGACAUGUAAUAGUUAAAAGCUACUAAAAUAGCUAACAACUAGUAGGUACUAGAACUAAAUUUGUCAAAUGGACCCCUAGUCAAAAUACAUGAUGUUUAUAUUAAGAUUGAGAGGUUGAAAAAAGUAAAUUAUAAGACAUUGUCUCCUAUCAACAAGUAAAAUAGCUAAAAACUAUUAGAAUAAUUAACUUCUAUUAAAACACUAAUGUUACAAAGAAAGAGCAUAAAAUCACCAUAUUAUAUAUAUAUAUAUAUAUAUAUAUAUAUAUUUAUAUUUAUAUUUAUAUAAUCCUGAAACCAAAAAAUCUUUAUAAAGCGGACGUGUCACUUCCAUGUUUGAGUGUUGUUUUUUUCUCCUUUUUUUAUAAAUUUUCUAAAUUUUUAGUAAUUGUUGAGCAUUUUUAUUUUCAUAUCUAUAUAUAUCUAUAUCUAAAAUCUAAAAUUUUGAAUAAUUAAAACUUUAAAAUUUUUGAAUUAUUGAAUUUAAAAGUUUGAAACUUUUGAAGGUUUGAAUUUAGAACUUCAAAAAAUUUUAAAUUUUUUUCUUAUCAAUAUAUAUAUACCUCUUUCAAUGAUUAUUUUAACAAUGGUUUUCUUCUUAUCUUUUUAUUGUUUCUUUCAAUCAUUUUAUUUAAAUUUCCUAGGUUUUGGCUAUGUUUUUAUUUUCAUGUGUGUGUUAUUGUUGUUUUUCCUUCUUUUUCUUUCCAGAAUUUUUUAACUAUAUGAAAUGAUAUGUAUGCAAAAAGAAGUGAAUAUAGAGGCAAAGAUAAGAGCAGAGAAAGGACCGAUAUUAACUGAAUCUCAUUAUUAUGAUAAUUUAUUUUCUAUCUUUGUAUUAUUAGUUGUAUGAUAUUGAAUAUGUUCAUUAGGAGUUUUUUUUUUUAAUUUAUUUGUAUAGUUUUUAUGCUUAUGAAUGAAAGGUAAGUUUUUAUUUAUUAUUGUUGUUAUUAUUAUUUUGCACUUUCUUUUAUUUGUUUUGUUUCCUAGGGUUGGAGGUUAAAAAGAAAUCUAAACAUUAAAUUUAAUAAAUACAUUUAAAAUAACAAAGAAAGCCAAUAAGAUAACAUCUGAUAAAUUCAAAAAUAAAUAUAUUUAAUAAAUUAAAAAGAUGAGAUACCUAAUAUUCUUAUCAUUUACAUUUUAAAUUUAUUAUCUAAAUAUUAAAAAAUUAUAUAUAAUGAUUAUAUUUUAAAAUUAUAUUCAUUUAUCAUAAUUGUCUAUAUCUAUAUUCAAUUUUGAAACUUUUUAUUAGAUCAUUUAAGAUUUUUUAAGUUUAAAAAUUAGUACUAAUUUAAAAUAAUUAUCUAUAUUGAUAUUUGAUUUUUUUAGUUUUAGAUUCGACUAUUCAAUUUUUCUCCAUCUAUUUAUAAUAAUUUUAUAUUUUUAUAUCUAUAUAUAUUUACUAUUGUCUUUAUGCUUAUUUGCAAAAAAUUCUGUAUAUAUCGAGAAUGUGUUUACUGUAUUUUAGUUAUAAGUAUAUCUUUUAUAAUAUUUUAUUUGCUUCUUUUUAUUUCUGUCAAGUUGUAUGAUUUAUUUUAUAUAUACAAUAAAAAAAAGCCUCUAAUGAGAUAUAUGAUAAUAAAGUAAUAAACAACCCGCGUAAUGCGCGGGUUUCUACCUAAUUAUGUAAAUAUAAAAGCUACAUAUAUCAUUUUCUGUUUUAGUGUACUGUGUAAAUAAAAAUAGUAAUUAAGUCUUUUUAAUAAUAUUUAAUAAUUAGUUUUAUUUUUAAAUAAUUACAAAUAAAAUAAUUCAAUAUCGGCUUAGUAUCUUUGAAUUGAAAUUAAAGGCUUUUACUGUAGGGGUAAUCUCGUAAGAGCAUGAUCCUACAUAGCUUAACCUGCAAAUAUAUACAACAUGGGUAUGGCAUGUUAAAACCAAGAACACUAUGGGCAAUUGUGGUAGGUGAUUCAAAAUUCAUAAAAAGAGGCAAGAUUCUUAAUGAUCUAAAGCUAAAGCGCCGGAUAAAAAAGUAGCCGUUUUAGUAAGAAGCUUCAAUUCACCAUUUUACCCUUACUCUCUUAUUUAAUUACCUAAACUCAACCCAUAACUCUCAAAAACUGCGGGGGCGAGAGAAGUAAAUUGAAACAAUCUAUAAGCCAAGCCAAGUUUUAAGUUAGGUAAAUAAAGAAAAUGUGAAGGGCAGUUAGGACAUUUCGAGGAGUAAUAUCGCUGGGAGAAGAGAUAAAUGUCGGUUUGUUCUGUUCUGUGCAAAAAUUCCACAAAUGCUUUUUGUUAUUUUAUUUGUUUAUUGGGUCCCACUGCCAUUAGUCGCAACUGACAACAGCAGUAGUCUACUCUACUCUACCGCGAUGGGACCCAAUAAGACCACAGGACCUGCUCUGACGUGGCAUUCACUGUCUGGGGCCUAUCUAUCUUCUGUGUAUUUUCUAUUUGUUCCUUUGGCUUUUAAAAUUUAAAGAACCGUUUUCCUAUGCAUUGGUUGGGCUCCAUGCUGAUGCUGACUCCGAAUAUUUUACAGGCUAAAUUGAUAUAUAUAUCUAAGCUCUGGACGUAGUUUUAAUUGUAAUUUAAAUUUAAUUUUGUUCUUUUAAUAUGUUGAAUUUUCAUUUUAGUUAUAAUAAUAUUCUAAUUUUAAAUUGUAUCUAAUUUUAUGAAUAAAAUAUUAUUUUUAUAGAAUUCAAUUUAAUAUUUUCCCCAAAUUACACUAAUAAAUAAAUAUUAUAUUUAUUUAUAUAAAUAUUAAAAUAUAAAUAAUAUAUUCAUCUUAAAAAAAAAUACUUUUAUUCCUUUAUGCAAUAUUAACAAUAAAUAAUGAUUCCUUAAAAAUAAAAUGACGUCAUAAUGAAUAAAACUUAUUUUUAUAAGAAAUUUAAACUGAAUAUAAAUAAAUUUCUAUGCUUAAAAAAUGCCAAAACAAAAAGGAAUAAAGAUUAAUUUGGUCUCUCAACAUGUUUAGCAUGAUAAAAAAGGUUAGAUUUAAUAUUUCGGACCAAUUUAGCUCUUGAACUUGGAUAAAAUGAUUAAAAAGAUCUAAUUUCACUUGUAAGUCAAUUUAACGCCCGAACUUAUUUAAAAUAAUUAAAAAAAAUCAUGUUUGACAUUUUGAGUCAAUUUAACAUCUAAUUCUUUGUUGUACUUAUAAUGUGAAAAUCAUUAUAUAGACGUUUAUUAAAACUGCAGUUGGUAUCAAGCUUACUAAUUUAUUAAAAAAUUCAUUAAUUACAAAAUAUAGGAAAAAUGAUAUAUGAAGUGUAUUGUUUCUCUCUUUACCUUGAUUGAUGGUUUUGAGCUUAUAAAUAUGUAUUAAUUUAAACAUUUUAAAAUUAACCUAUAUUACUAGGUUAUCGCUUAUGAAAUCUAUACAUUUUUCAUGUUAAAUAAAUUAAAAGUAUAAUGCAUGUUUAUAAAUUUAUUUUAUUAUAAGAAAUGAUGUUUUUACGAAUAUUAAAUUUUAUAUUCAUAAGUGUUGAAAAAUUUUGAUCUAUGUAUUCUUAGUGUAGGACAAAAAUGAAUAAAAAGUCAAUAUUAUUAAUUUAUAAAAAUCAAAACAAGUUCAAGGGUUAAAUCAACCUAAAAAGUGAAAUUAGAUAUUUUUAAUCAUUUUAUACAAGUUCAAGGAUUAAAUUGGCCCAAAAGAUCAAAUCUGACAUUUUUUUAUCCCGCUAAACAAGUUCAGGAACCAAAUUUACAUUUAUUCCAAACAAAAAUCUAAACUAAUAUUUUAUGCUUAUAACUAGCUAAAAUUUAGAAUUUUACUUGCCUUUUAUGAAUUUAAAUUUCUAACCAAUAUAAUUAGUUAGGGUAUUAUUAAAUAGUGAAUUUUUAGUUAUCCUAACCAUAAGAGAGAAUAUAGAUCCAAAGAAAAUAAUAUUUUAUUCAUUACAUAUGAUAUAAUUUGAAAUUAAGAUGCUAUUGUAACUAAAAAUUGAAGUUCAAGAUACUAGGAGAAGAAAAUUUGAUUUAGGUUACAAUUAAAACUUCCCAUAAAGUUUGGGGUAUUUUUAAUGAUUUAGCCUAUUUUAUAAGGGUUUGAGCUGAAUUAUUGUGCAAUCUUUCAAAUUAAUAUUUAAACUAGUCGUAAAACAACGCUUCGCGCAUAGUGUGUUUAAAUAAUAUUAUUAAAUAAAUGUGUAUUUUCCUUUUAGAAUUUAACUAUAUAAAAUGUCUUUCUCCUUUUAAUUAGUAGACAUUAUAAAAGAAAAAAAAAAGAAAUGAUAUUUUAAAAAGAGAAAAAAGAAAGAGACUUUUAGCUAAGGAAGCUCUCUCUUACAAGGAGCUCAUGUUCAUGGAAGAAGUCCUUUCAUUCCUAGAUGUUCUUAUUCAGGCUUAUAUAACAUUAUUUUCUUAAUAAUAUUAGUGUUAGAACCUACUAUAUGCGCGAAUCAUUAUUAAAGGAUGAAAUUAGAGAUGUAAACGAGGCUAGUAUCGGAAAUUUUGAACUACCUGUAAAUUAACCAUAUCCGUUUAAAAUUUUACUCCACGUAUUUGUCCCAACCCCGUUAAAUAUCAAUUUAAGUACUCAUAUCUGAACUCUUUUAGAAUUUUACUACUCGUAUCCAUUCCAAACUCGUUUGAAGUACCCCUUAAAUGGAUUCGGUAUCCGCACAUUUUAAAUUAUUCAAACCCAAACUUAUUUAAAAUGCAUUUGUUACUAAUAAAUGCGGUACCCACGAGCAAAGCCGUUUAUGUCACGAUCCAUUCCCGUGGGCCGGACAGGCACUAGGGUCUAGGUAAGCUUAAGGCCCCUGGGGUCCGUAGUAAACCUAAACUACUCAACUUAUACAUGCCACACCAUUUAACAGGAACAGUAAGCCCAUACAAGUUAGGAUAUAAAAUAUAGAUAAAUAUUAUACAAUCCGGUCCAGUCUUAAUUAUCUCGAAUAAAGUUUAGUCUGGACCUAAUCAUGAUAAAUCACAUUCACAAUAUGGGCAUACUGAUUCACCUGCGUCUAAUUAUACAACAAAUCAUUUAUAAAGUAACGCAUACGGCAAGGCCAAUUGAAAAUACACAACCCUAUAACUGCGGAGUUCAACAAUAAUUUGGAAAUAGAGUAGUGUAUAUAUUUAAUAACAUAAUUCAACUAAUAACAAAAAGUCAUAAAUUUACUUUUGUAGCUCUGCGAGAAAAAUUAUAGAGUUUCAGUUGAGCAGCAGCUUCCGACUACCUGAGAAGUUUAGAGAGAAGGGGGGUGUGUUUUGCAACUCAAUGAAUAAUAAUAAAUAAUACACACCACAUACAGUCACGCAAAAUGCACCCUAGUAUGCUGAAUGAACACACAACAGUCAAUCAUAUGGCAUAGUAUCAGCACCCAUAAUUAAUAUCACCUUCAAAUAAUCACAUCAAGUGGAAAUUAGUCAGUGGCGUCACCUAAACCCCUGACGACGAGCCAUACUCUCACAUGGCCCAUCCUCUCAAACGUGUGCACCCGGGGAGCCAAUCCCCCAUACCUGGCCGACCGGUCUAAUCCUCACAUGACCAAUCCUCUCAUUUCUUUUCCAUACCAACAGGAGGCAAUCCGGUGGUCUCCGUCAAAUCUAGAUCAUCAAGUGCACACAACAGGAGGCCACCCUGUGGGCUUCCAUGACAUCCAGAUUAUCAAAUGCACACGACAGGAGGCCACACUGUGGUUUCUAUAUAAUCUACAGUAUCAGGUGCUCACGGGGGCGUCGAUCUCCCAUUUUCCCGACCGACGGUCAAAUUUCAUAAUUUCAACAUAAUCAGGAUCCAUGCUUUAUCGACCAUCCUGAUAAACCCAUAGUGACCCACUUUAUCCCAAUUCCACAUGAACAAAGCACAGUAUAUACAUAGCACAAGUAAUGAAACAAUUCAUUCAACGUAAUACACCGAUUUACAUAGUGUUUGGUUUAAAUGAAUUCCACAAAAUUUUGUGGAAUUCAAUUGAAAUCCAUGUUUUGCUUGUUUGAUAUAUAUAUAUAUAUAUAAAACUCAAUUUGAAGAAUUCAAUUCUGUAGAAUUGGUUAUAACUAAAAUCAAAUUUUCUAUUUAGGUUGAUGGAAUUUGAAAUGAAUUUCGCGAAACUAACAUAACAUUACUUUUGGAACUAAAAUACCCUCAUAUAACAUAUGUAGUCUACAUUUAAUUAUAAUUACCUAUCACUUAGCUUUAAUUUCAAUUUAAUCCAAGAAAGCCAUGUUCAUCCAAAUUCUUGAUAUCUAAUUGUAUAACAACUAAUAGCAAAACUCAAAUUAGUUUAAUUGGGUAAAGAAGAAGAUGGAAACGACAAAUUAGUUUUCUAUCCAUUUACCAUCCGAAUGUCUAGAUAUUAUAUAGAUAUUUUAUAUUUUAAUAUUAACUUUUAAUGGCUAAAUUUACUAUGCCCUUAUCAUUGACAUUAUUUAUAUUGUUAUAUAAAACACUUAUACUAUGAGGCAAGUUAAUUUAUUUUGUAUUUGUUAAUAUUUUGUUAAUUGGUAUAUAUAGUUGUUAAUCAUUAUACACUUAUUAGAUAUAAGAUAUUUCUUUUAUAAAGUUAAAAUUAUUAUUUCUAAAUUUUAUUAUGAGGGUAGUUUAGGAAAUGAGAAUAAAUAAAAUUCAAUUGUGAAAUUAUGCCAAACAAUAUUAUGUGAAGUUUAAUUGAAUUCCACAUUUUAAGCUGUAUCAAACACAAGAAUUCGUUUCUAAAUGAAUUCCAAGUAAAAUUCAUUCCAUAUGAACAUUUCAACUCUUAUUCAUUUCAACAAAACAUUAAUGUUUCAUGUAACUAACCUCAUAUUUGAACUGAAAAUUAAAUUUACAUUGUUCAGUGAUCUAAAAAGUUGGAAUAUGAGGUUAGCAACACUAAUGUUUCUGCAGAUACAUACAGGAAUAUAAAGGAUAAAUAUUUUUCCUAUCUUCCAUGUCCCUUCAUACGGAGAAUCUUUUAAGAGACAAGGAAUGUUGGGAACCUAAUUCUUCCCCAUUUUCUUUUUCCUUAUUCUCUUUUCUUGCCCCAUGGAGGAAAAAAAUUCAUGUUGCCUAUUUUAUGCUUUGUCCUAUUUAUUAAUGUAUCAAAUGAUUUUAAAAUUCCCCUUCAAAUUUUCUUUUUACAAAAGGUAUUUUAAGAUUUUGCUAGUUAUUCUUUGCUCUGCAUUGAUAUUAGUUUGAUCAACACGGAUAUUUGAAAUGAAGAAUACAUAUACCCCAAUUAGUUUAGGACUAAGGCUUGAUCGUGGUUGUUGUGCUUGUUUUAUUUGCUUGCCUGCUUUUUCCCUCCCUCCCUCGUUUUAAAGGGAAAGUACAAUUAACUCCCUCCCAUUCUUCCCAUUUUCUCCAACUUCACUCAAAUCAAGCACACCCUAAAGCUGUAAAUAGAAUUUUCUCAAACGCUUAUGAAGCCCUUAGUUAAAAAUAAAAUAAUACCCUUCUAACCCAUCACCCCACCAACACUAACUUUAACAACUAGAAGAAGAAACAUAAAGUGGAAGAUAGAAACUAUUGUCGAAACUUAUUGAACCCAAGGUAAUGAAAUCCAAUAAGCAAUUACAAAGCUGCUUCUAGUUCAAGUUGAUAGAAAAUGCUUACCAAAGACUACUUUUUCUAUCUAAGAAUUAUUAAAAUAUCACCGAUUAAUUUAGAAAAAUCACCACCAAAAUGGGCUGCCAUAAUGGACCAAGACUUGGGAAGCCUCUAGCCCAAAGUUGGAUGUCCAAGCCCGCAUUUUAGAAUACUCCACAUUACUCCACCUAAAAGAUAUUUUUUAUAAUGUCUACAUAGUUCUAGAAUUCUCCAUGUAAUCUAAACCGUCCAUCUUUUGUAGACAAAUCUUAGACGUACAUUGAGGAGGUGGAAAUGGCUAUAAAUACCACCCCUCACCUCACUUGUAAUGCAACCAAGCAAAAACCAAGUAAGUAAUCCUUUCUUUAAGCUUUGUGAAUAUUUGUUUCUUAUUAAUACAAUUAUAUUUGGUGUUUUGUGUCAGUAAAUACCACCCCUCACCUCACCGUUGUGUAUUGGUUAGUGUCAGGAACACCAUUACCUUAUGGCGGAUUUUUCUGGAGUUGCUAAUAGCAUCGAGAAGCUAAAUAGCAACAAUUACGGGAACUGGAGUACCCGUAUGAGAUAUUAUCUCAUAGGUCAAGACUUAUGGGAUAUCGUCGGAGGAGAUAAUAUUACACCAUCAUUUGGGGAUGCGAAAGCUCUGAAAGAGUGGGAGACAAAAUGCGAGAAGGCAAUGUAUGUGCUGACGGUUGUAGUAGAAGAUGAGCAUAUGCAAUAGAUCAAGUUAGCUAAAACACCAAAGGAAGUGUGGGAAAUCCUCAAGUCUGCUUUUGCCAAGAAGAAUGAAGCAAAACUGCAACGACUCGAAAACGAGUCGUUCUCAAUCUCACCAUAGAACCUCACUGUAAGUCAAUACUUUUCUAAAGUAAAAUCUUUAUGUGAGGAGAUUUCGAAAUUAGAUCCAGACAACGAGAUCAAUGGGACAAGGAUGAGGAGGAUCAUCAUCCAUGGUCUAAGACCUGAAUUUAAGGGUCUUGUGACUGCUACUUGUGGUUAGGCUACACAACCAACCUUAGACGAGUUAGAGAAUAUCUUGUCCAAUGAAGAGACUUUAGACGAAAAAAUGUCUAAAGUAGCUUUGAAGGAUGAUGAGAAAGCUCUCUUUGCUAAAAAGAGGGGAUUUCGAAACGUUGUGAGAGUAGAUGAUGGAAAAGAAAAGAGCAAUCAACAAGGAUGGAGAAAGCAAAAGUGGAGACCAUCACAGCAAGGGAGAUCAAGGCCAGGACAAAGGAAAGACGACUGGCGAGAAAGUGAUCGUUGCUAUAAGUGCAAUAAGAGAGGACAUUUCGCUCAAGAAUAUCGAAGCAAACGAGUAGAAGGAAACACAGCAUCAACCCAGAACGAGCAACAAAGUGAAGAGGAAUGGGAUAUUCACAAUUUCUUUGUCCAGGAGGAAAAAAAUUCGCCACAGAAGCCAGUAGAGAUGAUGAUGAAAGGACCCGAGCAAGAGUCAUCAUUAAUAUCAGUAAGUGAUAGAAUCAACUAUGAUGAUGAUUGGAUAGUUGAUUCUGGAAGUUCUAAUCACAUGACAAGAAACAAGGAGAAAUUAUCAGAUGUAUCCGAUUAUGAUGAAGGUCGUGUUGUAGUCACAGCAAAUAACACGAGAUUACCAAUAGCUCAUAUUGGAAAGACAACCAUUGUUUCUCCCUCCAGUAAGGAGAAAAUGGAGUUACAGAUGGUUUACCAUGUGCCAAGGAUGAAGAAAAACUUACUCUCUGUAUCACAAAUAGCAAGUGCAGGUAAUUAUGUGGUGUUCGGUCCUAAUAAUGUUAAGGUUUAUCAUAACCUUAAAUUAAUCGGAGAUCUAGUCAUGGAAGGACGGCGAGUAGAAUCAAUCUACGUCAUGUCAGCACAAGAAGCCUAUGUUGACAAAACAAGGAAGAACGGGACAGCUGACUUGUGGCACGCUUGUCUGAGACAUGGUAGUUAUCACAAGCUUAAGGUGAUGAUGAAGAAGUCCAUGCUUAAAGGUCUUCCUCAGUUGGAAUGCCGAGAAGACACUAUAUGUGCUGGAUGCCAAUAUGGAAAAGCUCACCAACUUCCCUUUGAAGAGUCAAAACAUAAAGCCAAGGUGCCAUUGGAGUUAAUACAUUCAAAUGUUCUUAGACGGAUCAAGCAAUCUACAAACAGUAAUAUGAGGUACAUGAUUACUUUCAUCGAUGACUACUCGAGAUAUGUUUGGGUAGAUUUCAUGGUAGAGAAGUCGAAAGCUUUUGAAAAAUUCAAAGCUUUCAAGUUUUCAAAAGCUUUCAAGAAGAAAGUUGAAAAAGAAGUCGGGAAUAAAAUUAGAUGCCUUCGUACCGACAAUGGUGGAGAGUACACCUCUGACGAAUUCACUAAAUAUUGCUAAGAGCAAGGCAUUCGAAGGCAAUUCACAUGUCCAAGAACACCGCAACAGAAUGGAGUUGCUGAGAGAAAGAAUCGACACCUAGUGGAGAUUUGCAGGAGUUUGCUCCAUGCGAAGAAUGUGCCAAAUAGAUUUUGGGCAGAGUGCAUGAAGACAGUUAUGUACGUCACCAACAGACUACCUCAAGCAAGACUGGAGUUUACAUCCCUAUUCCAGAAACUAUGGAACAUUAAACCAACUGUAAGUCAUUUUCGCAUUUUUGAAUGCGUGUGUUAUGUCUUUGUUCCGAAUGAACUUCGAAGCAAGUUUGACAAAAAGGCACUUCGCUGCAUAUUCGUUGGUUAUGAUGAGCAAAGAAAAGGCUGGAGAUGUUGUGAUCCUACAACUAACAAGUGCCAUAUUUCACNNNNNNNNNNNNNNNNNNNNNNNNNNNNNNNNNNNNNNNNNNNNNNNNNNNNNNNNNNNNNNNNNNNNNNNNNNNNNNNNNNNNNNNNNNNNNNNNNNNNNNNNNNNNNNNNNNNNNNNNNNNNNNNNNNNNNNNNNNNNNNNNNNNNNNNNNNNNNNNNNNNNNNNNNNNNNNNNNNNNNNNNNNNNNNNNNNNNNNNNNNNNNNNNNNNNNNNNNNNNNNNNNNNNNNNNNNNNNNNNNNNNNNNNNNNNNNNNNNNNNNNNNNNNNNNNNNNNNNNNNNNNNNNNNNNNNNNNNNNNNNNNNNNNNNNNNNNNNNNNNNNNNNNNNNNNNNNNNNNNNNNNNNNNNNNNNNNNNNNNNNNNNNNNNNNNNNNNNNNNNNNNNNNNNNNNNNNNNNNNNNNNNNNNNNNNNNNNNNNNNNNNNNNNNNNNNNNNNNNNNNNNNNNNNNNNNNNCAAAAUCAAAACUCGCCCGGAUGGAUCAAUUGAGCGAUACAAAGUAAGACUGGUUGCUCGUGGAUUUUCUCAAGAGUAUGGCUUGGACUAUGAUGAGACAUUUAGUCUGGUUGCCAAGAUCACUACUGUGCAUGUAUUACUAGCUUUAGAAGCUAGUAAGUCAUGGCCUUUGUGGCAGAUGGAUUGAAGAACACAUUCUUACAUGGUGAAGUUGAUCGUGAAAUCUACAUGGAGUAACCACCAAGGUUCAAACGUCGUGAGAAUCCUAACUAUGUGUGCAAGCUAAGGAAAGCUCUUUAUGGUCUAAAACAAGCACCAAGGGCUUGGUAUGACAAGAUUGCAGAAUUCCUUGUCAAGAAUGGAUAUGUUAUGACACAAGCAGACUCCAGUUUGUUUGUGAAAGAUCAGGAAGGAAGACUAGCUAUAGUGCUAGUAUACGUUGAUGAUUUAAUAGUCACUGGCGAUAAUAGUGAAGAGAUUCAACUCAUUCGAGAGAAUUUGGCUACUCGUUUCAAAAGAUGAAAGAGCUAGAAAAGCCUAGGCAUUUCCUUAGAUUGGAGAUAGAAGAAGCCAAGGAAGGUUUGUACCUCGGACAACAGAAGUAUGCAAGAGAUCUACUGAAGAGGUUUAGAAUGAUGGAAUGCAAGCCAAUAUAUAUUCCAAUGGAUGCUAAUGUCAAGCUGUGUGCUCAUGAAGGGAAUGAUCUCGAAGAUGCUACUAUGUAUAGACAACUAGUGAGAAGCCUAAUCUAUCUCACUAUGACACGACCAGACAUUUCCUUUGCAGUUGGAGUAGUCAGCCGAUUUAUGCAGAAGCCUAAAAAAGCUCAGUUGAAAGCAGUUCGAAGAAUAUUGAGAUAUGUCAAAAGUACAAUCGAUUAUGGGAUCUUUUACAAGAGAGGUGAAAUUAUCAACUUGGAAGGAUAUUGCGAUGUUGAUUAUGUAGGAGAUCACGACACUUGGCGCUCGACAACAUGCUAUGCAUUUAGUCUUGGUUCAAGAGUAAUCUCUUGGUGCAGCAAGAGACAACCUACAGUGUCACUUUCCAUAAUAGAAGCUGAGUAUCGGGCAGUAGCAAUAGCAGUUCAGGAAAGUGUUUGGCUGUCACAGCUUAUGAACGAUCUGCAUCAACCCAUCGACUAUCCAAUUACGUUUAAUUGUGAUAAUCGUUCGGCUAUACAAAUGGCUGAGAAUGUUUAACUAUCAGUUGGGUAUGAUGAAGAAAGAGAAAUUAAUCGUUGAGGGAGAGUAUUAAAAUAUCACUUAUUAAUUUAGAAAAGUCACCACCAAAAUGGGCUGCCAUAAUGGACCAAGACUUGGGAAGCCUCUAGCCCAAAGUUGGAGGUCCAAGCCCGCAUUCUAAAAUACUCCACAUUACUCCACCCAAAAGAUAUUUUGUAUAAUGUCUACAUAGUUCUAGAAUUCUCUAUGUAAUCUAAACCGUCCAUUUUUGUAGACAAAUCUUAGCCGUACAUUGAGGAGGUAGAAAUGGCUAUAAAUACCACCCCUCACCUCACUUGUAAUGCAACCAUGCAAAAACCAAGUAAUCCUUUCCUUAAGCUUUGUGAAUGUUUGUUUCUUAUUAAUACAAUUAUAUUUGGUGUUUUGUGUUAGUAUUAUUUUGGUUGUCUUUCCCGUUAUUAUUUUUGGUGUUAUAAAUUAUUAAUCACUCUUAGAGUUUAUCGCUGCACUUAUACCCAAUAGGUACUUGACCAUUUUCUGUAGUUUUUGAAAAGCUUCUUCAUCACUUCUGUCAAUGCACGCUCAUCCAACUAGAAUGAAAUAGAUAAAAAUAUGUUAAAAGAAGAUGAAAUACAUUGCUAAAAGACUAAUCAAAUGGUACUCCAUAAUCUGCAUUAUAUGAAGCAGUAAAGUAGCUGCUUGUUUCUUUUUGUCUUGCAGUAACAGUAAAUAUAGUAAAGUACAUUUUCUAGUUCAAAAAUAUAAUAUACCAUACGCCAUCACUUUGAUUGUGAUGUACAAGCAAUUCUAUAGCAUGUGUGAUAGAAACAGAACUUUGAAGGUCAAAAAAUCCUGAACAGAACUGUGCCAACAAACAAAAAGGAGAUAAUCAAACAAACAUAGGGGCAGUCUUCUACAGCUGCUAUUUGCCCUUGAGAUGGAAACAUUGGCAGAAUGGAAGCAAAUUCUCCCACAGCAUAGUUUUCUCAAUACUGCCCUCCUCUAAGAAUUAUGUUUUAAAAGGAUUGCCAACUAUUCAUUAAGAAUAUAUAAUGUGGAAGUACAAACCUUGGGUUGUUGAUCAGGCUUUGGAAAUUGUCGAAUGUGCACAUUUGCAAGUACUAAGAUUAAAUGUUCCCUUUGAUUAGCAACAUUAUCCUUCUGCAAAUUUAAUAGGCACCCAAUGGAAAUAGGUCAAGGAAAAAAUGUUACAUACUUCCAAUCAUACUUAAUUAACUGCCAACUUCAAAAUGCUUGGAGAAAUAAUUAUUUGUAGUUCUUUCACCUGAAACCCAAACAUCGCCUGAAGCCAAUCUAAAAUAUCUUCGUCUCUUUUCUUCUUGUGGUCUUUGGGCCAUGGAAGUAGCGGAGAGCUACAACAGCAGCUUGGAUCUACAAAUGGUUAGACACAAGCAUUUUCAUGCUAAGUGAGAGAAGCUAAAACAAAGCUCACUAUCCAAACCACACAUACGAAAUGUACCUCAGGAUAUUUCAUAAUUGCCUGAUUUGCCCUAUCAGGAUCAAGUGGAAGGAUAUUGUAAGGGACAUAUAUCUGAGUCUUUUCUGCAACUUUAUCCUGAGCUUCUAAAAGCUUUACAAUAUCCACAAAGAAUAAGUUACACAUAUGUAACAGAUGGUCAGCAAUUAGCAUUAUUAAGUUGACAAAAUUUGAAAUAGGUGAUAUCUGCCAUUAGAUUAAACAUUCACAAUAGAGUAAAUGUCACAAGGUUUCAACUCACGAUCUACUUCAAUAGAUUGUGUCAUAUUAACAGCUUUCAAAUCCUCAAAGAGAACAUUAGCAGUUUGGUAUGCCUUUGUAAGCUGUGCACUGGAUUUAAAAAGACAACCGUCAAAAAUGGCAACUACGCUGGGAUUCCAGAAAAUAUUAGCUAAGAAAAUUUCUUACUAAGACAUAAGCAAAUAUCUCUAUCUUUUCCCUUCUACAGCAAAAAACUCACCGAUCAGCUUUAUCAGCAGCAUUUUGCAAGGCUUGGAUAUACUUUUUGUAGUAAUGUUGAUAAAAACUCUGCAUUUCCCGCGCAUCACUCUUUUUUACCCUUCCCAUCAAGGUUGGAUCAUUUUCCUGAAAAGAAUUAAAAAAAACCCUCUAGUAGCAAAUAGGAGAGAGCAUAAAAGAAGCAAAUAGCUAAAGGUAUCAUUUAACCAUAUGCUGGUCGUAAUUGUCAAUGCUAUAGAAAUUGUUUCUACUAAAAAAAUCGUGUAUUACACAGUGGUCAUGGGUCUCAAGACUUGGACUUCAGAAACUGACAUUCAUUUAUACUAAAAUCAUACCCUGUUUGUAACAUUACUUCUUAUUUUACGCAUUUUUCAUAAUUGCAUUAUGUAUAAACUAUCAACUAUCAGUCCAUAGGACACUUCUUCCUUGAGCAAUUAGCAUCCCAAAAAGACUCAUUACCCUAACAGUUAAAACCGCUCCACACUCCAAGACCCCAAUAAUUUAGUUCAUGCAAAUCAAAGGAACUUCCAAAUCAAACAUGGGACUUCAGAAAGAGACAUUCAUUUAUACAAAAAUCAUACCCUGUUUGUAACACUAAUUCUGAUUUUACAAAUGGAGAAUUGCAUUAUGUAUAAACUAUCAGUCCAUG